rnacentral:lncRNA from 1 species
UAUUGCUAUUGUUCUGUUUAGACCAUGAGUGAGUGUAUGAUGAGCAUGUCCAAACCAUUUGCUUUCUAAUUAAAGGUUUUCAAGUUUGUCCAAAAUGUCCGUAUCGGAAAUGCUAAUGAUACCCAAUCAGAAAAAGGACUCUCUGCCAAGGCCUGGUAAUUAAGACUUCACAAUAAUAACUACUUCACUCUUGGAUGGUAAUGAACACUAAACGAUUAACUACUAUUCUUCAUUUUUAAAGAGCCCCGUUCAAGUGUGGCUGAAACACAGGAGCACCAACUGUCCUCAGCUCAAAAAUGGUCCGUGUCAGAUUCGACUCCAGUGCGCCUGAAACGACUUCACGUUGACCUCACUGAUCGCCUGCAAAAAGUCCUUGAUGAGCAAAAUCGUGAGCCUGUGCCAGAGAAAGAAGCUGUGGCACCGAAAAAAAAUGCCAGGGAGGAAUCUGAAGACAAAAGCUCAGGAAAAGAGGAUGUUUUGUCUAUUUCUAUUCCUAAAGUGCAGCAGGGUCAACGUCAAGGUCGUGCUAAGCAAAAGAGCAAAGGCCAGAUACCACUGGCUCUGAAAGAUCCAGUGAACACUACUUCAAUUAAGGAGAAGACUUCUUCUACGGUGAUGGAUCAAAGCAAAAAAGCCCCUUCUAGCAAAGACAAGAGUGAAUCAGACGCCACAGGCAGCAUGGUGCAGCUCAUUUCCAGCCAUUACGCGGUUAAACCCAAAUCCACAGGAAAAGACAAAGCCAGCAAUAAAGUCCCUAAUGGCUCGAAUCCUCGUCUUGUCAUCAGACCAACUAUUAACAUGAUGUGGUCAUCCACAUUUAAAGUAAGUGAACGAGUCUUUACUUUAACUCUUUAAAUGUUAUUCUCAGCAUAUCAAGUCUAAUUUUUGCUCAGUUGAAUUUAAUUAAAUGAUGAUCUGCCUUAAAGACUAACGUAUGUGAAGGUCCAAGCCACAACAAAGCCACUGAAAAAUCUACCUGGCAGAAGUAAGAUAGCAAUGCAAACACAAAGAAAGAAACUUUUACUUUGGUUUUUACAGCAUUUGGUGUGUUUGUUGACUUUGUCCAGGAAAGAUGUUUUUGCAUUCAGCCUGGAUUCACCACUGAAAAUACGGGUAAAUAUUUUUAUUGUCCAUUAUUUAGAAUCAGUAAAUCACCAAAUUCUCCCUCGUGGAAUAAAUUGAGGUCUAUCAAAUUUGAUUGUAGGGUGUGAACAAAACCCUCACUGACUCGUCAAACCAAAUGCAGAGUGACAUCAACGGUUCCUCAUCUUGCCUAGUUUCAACCAAGAGAGGACAACCCGAGCCAAAAAGCAAGCGACAUGUGAAGAAACAUCUGUUUAGUGACACGGACCCGGAUGAUGCAAAGACAGAUUACAGCUGGCUGAGAGAGUCCAGCAGGAAACCAAAACCCAAAGUGACCAAAUAUAGCAGACAGGCUCCCAUCAAAGCAGCUGCUGUAGAACCUCAAACUUCAGGUGAUUCCUCAGAUCUACGUCCACCUCCUCCAAGUGCUGCAGUUAAUGGAAGCAAACCCAACAAGAAAAAUACACACCUAAAGAAUGAAAUGAACCGUCCAAAGAAGUCAGUGGGAGCAGCAGCAGCUGCUGCAUUCAGUAAAGGACCCACAGCUGCAAAGAGACCCAAGAGAGCAGCAGCCAGAUCUACCAAAAACUACAAGGAGCCAGAUACUGAUGACAGCCACUCAGAAUCAGAAAAAGCUCCUCCUCCCAAGGACACGUAUUUGUCAGCUUGUGAACCACUGAAGACAGAUCUGAAGAAUAAUAAUGAACGUGAGGUGGCAAACACAAAGAGGACUAACUGUGUCAACCACAAACUGAACAAAUACAUUUCUAAGGAAUGUAAGGAUGUUUAUGAAGUCACAAACCUGAACAAAAGCAAAAUCCCACCAGUCCAAGAGAAGAGGAUCUCACCACAGCACUCCUGGGUUAUGGGAAGGACUUGCCUCAGUCCGUCUCCAGUCGGGAUCAUUGAGAAGAUGAGAUGUUUUAUUGAGACUCUUAAAGAUGACAAGAGGUCAGUCCCAACCCUGGAUGUGAGCUGCUCCCCUCUCUGUAGUCUGCAGGGAACCCCGCUACUCGCAUCUCCCAACCCUUGCUGCCAGGAGGUCCCCUCCCCAAUCCCGCUGCUUCACAAACCUCUUUCUACAGUUUCCAGUAAAGCAAAGGGCAAGACCUCCUCUUUUCACAGUACAAAUAGAAAACACAGUUCAUCCAAGAAACAGUCCAUCCCCUCUCCCACUCCUCCUGGAGGUCACACUCCUGCACUCAGUCCUUCCUUUGGAUUCAAUGCAACAGAGGAGAAUCUCUUUUCAGCACCUCAGUCUCCUUUGUCUCUGCCCACUGAGCCCCUCUUAACGUCCACAGCCAUUGAGCAGGUGAAGCCACAGGUGCCCUCUCCCUCUCAGUCACCAUAUCCUAAAGACUCUGACUACGGACAGCGUUUUGCCUUUGCUAAGAAGCUCCCAGUGUUCAAGGCUUCUCUGAGCCAGUCAUCUUCAAAGUCAUCAGUCGUUACUGGCAGAAUCAAAGAGAGCCCCUCUCCACCUCAGAAUGUGUCUCCUAAAAUAGAGGUGGGAUUAGGCUGA